rnacentral:rRNA from 1 species
ACGGCUCAGUAACACGUAGUCAACCUAACCUAUGGACGAGAAUAACCUCGGGAAACUGAGAAUAAUGCUCGAUAGAACACUAUAUCUGGAAUGGUUUGUGUUCCAAAUGAUUUAUCGCCGUAGGAUGGGACUGCGGCCUAUCAGUUUGUUGGUGAGGUAAUGGCCCACCAAGACUAUUACAGGUACGGGCUCUGAGAGGAGUAGCCCGGAGAUGGGUACUGAGACACGGACCCAGGCCCUAUGGGGCGCAGCAGGCGAGAAAACUUUGCAAUGUGCGAAAGCACGACAAGGUUAAUCCGAGUGAUUUGUGUUAAACGAAUCUUUUGUUAGUCCUAGAAACACUAACGAAUAAGGGGUGGGCAAGUUCUGGUGUCAGCCGCCGCGGUAAAACCAGCACCUCAAGUGGUCAGGAUGAUUAUUGGGCCUAAAGCAUCCGUGGCCGGCUCUGUAAGUUUUCGGUUAAAUCUGUACGCUUAACGUACAGGCUGCCGGGAAUACUGCAGAGCUAGGGAGUGGGAGAGGUAGACGGUACUCGGUAGGAAGGGGUAAAAUCCUUUGAUCUAUUGAUGACCACCUGUGGCGAAGGCGGUCUACCAGAACACGUCCGACGGUGAGGGAUGAAAGCUGGGGGAGCAAACCGGAUUAGAUACCCGGGUAGUCCCAGCUGUAAACUAUGCAAACUCAGUGAUGCAUUGACUUGUGGUCAAUGCAGUGCUGCAGGGAAGCCGUUAAGUUUGCCGCCUGGGAAGUACGUACGCAAGUAUGAAACUUAAAGGAAUUGGGCGGGGGAGCACCACCAGGCGUGAAGCCUGCGGUUUAAUUGGAUUCAACGCCGGA